AGCAUACUUUAUUUAUAAUGCAUGCUUGUGGGUCUUCAUAAUCCUAAAAAUUCUAACACAUUUAAAUAUAUGCGACACGUAGUUCUCUUUUAAAUAAAGCUACUGAUAAGAGGCAUAUGCUGUUAGUCAAAGAUGCUUUGCGGCGAUUUUUUUCAGACCCGUUUCAAAUCAUUUAUUUAAUAAGCAUUUCUUCAGCAACUGUUUUAAGAGCUUGGGAUACAUGAGUGAACAAAAGAGUUAAAGAUAUCUGCCCCAUGGAGUUUACAUUCAAGUAAUUCUGAUUAACUCUUGCUCCCAUUUUCUUUCUUUGUUUUCUCUCUUCAUACACUGAAGAAAAUAAAUUUCCUGUGCAAGCGAAUCUGUUCUCAAACGUGGCAACAGUCUCAAACUGAAAAGCAAUGGCUCAGACCCUCCAGCUUCUCAGGGUUUGCAGCGCUGGACCAAAGAGAAGAGUCCUCCCGGGGUCCUAGAAGGGUGAGCCGCGCGUUACCAUGGAGACCGCGGAACUUGAGGGCUCUGAGGCGCGGGUGGGGUUUCUUCGACCUCACCUUGGGGGUGCCCUUUGCACUCCUUCUGUGCCGCCGCCGGGAAGGCAGGACUCGCAAGGGCGGCGGCGGAGCUGAGGCCGCGGGGCAGGCCAAUACUUGAAAUGUAGAUUGGAGCCUCUGAACUUUACUGGUCUCUAAAGCCAUACUGUCAAUGGACAAAAAAGGCAGAGCAGCUCCUGCCCUGUGGCUCAAAAUGUCAGUCACGUCAGAGAAGGCAGUUAUUUUUGAUAGGUGUCCACAUGGGUUUGGCUCCCUUGAGGAGGCCUGCCCUGAGGAGCAGGCCCUGGAUGUCCUACCUGGAGAGAGACAGGACUGGAGGUAAUUGUAUCCUGUUACCUUCCAUACAAGGAACAUUGCAAUUUCCCAAACCCGCUGUAAUUUCCCAGCUGGAGCAGGGUCAGGAAUCCUAUGUUCUCGAUCUGCAUGGAGCUGACUUAAGAGAGGCCUGUACAAGCUCCUGGGCAGUGUCAAGUGUUAAGACCCAGGUUAGGAGUGGGGAAUCAAUGGAAAAGUACGUUUUGAAAAUGAGGAGUCACACUGAGUCAUCUUGACAAAUACUCAGAAGAAUCAGUGUGGAAAAUCCAUAGAAGCAUUGAAAGAUAAGAAUAGCAAUUCUAAGGAGGUGAACAAUGAAGAUCAGGACAUUCUGACGUCAGAACAAAAAGAAGAGGAUUAGGGGAAAGUUUGC
rnacentral:lncRNA from 1 species